UGCAGAGCCCCAUCUAGCUCCAGUUCUGCCGCCAACUCCCUGGCACCUUGGACAGAUCCCCUGAUCCUUCAGGCCCCCUCAUCAAGCUUACUGAGUCUCUGGGAGUAGCAGGAGGUCAACACAGAGACAGGUCUCAAGACUUCCUGGCCUCUCCCAUCUCGUGGGCAGUUGAAGGAGCUACUUCCUGUCUUAGUCCCCGACAGCAG